UACGUAGGGACCAAGCGUUGUCCGGAAUCAUUGGGCGUAAAGAGCGUGUAGGCGGCUUGUUAAGUCUUGCGUGAAAUCUCGGGGCUCAACCCCGAGCGGUCGUGAGAAACUGGCAGGCUAGAGUGCGGGAGAGGAGAGUGGAAUUCCUGGUGUAGCGGUGAAAUGCGCAGAUAUCAGGAGGAACACCAAUUGCGAAGGCAGCUCGCUGGGACGUUACUGACGCUGAGACGCGAAAGCGUGGGGAGCGAACAGG
rnacentral:rRNA from 1 species